AUAACAGGUCUGUGAUGCCCUUAGAUGUUCUGGGCUGCACGCGUGCUACAAUGAUAAUUUCAAUAAGUAGUGAAUAGUGUAGUAGCUUGCUAUUACAUUGUUCGGUCACUUCAACGAAAGUUGUGGUUACUCUUAUGAAAGAAUUAUCGUGCUGGGGAUAGAUGAUUGUAAUUAUUGAUCUUGAACGAGGAAUUCCUUGUAAACAAAAGUCAACAACUUUUGUUGAUUAUGUCCCUUCCCUUUGUACACACCGCCCGUCG
rnacentral:rRNA from 1 species